rnacentral:rRNA from 1 species
UACGAAGGGGGCUAGCGUUGCUCGGAAUGACUGGGCGUAAAGCGUGCGCAGGCGGCCCGCGAGGUGUCACGUGAAAGCCCCGGGCUCAACCCGGGAGGGUCGUGGCAAACCGGCGGGCUUGAGGCCGGUAGAGGUGGGUGGAACUCCUGGUGGAGUGGUGAAAUGCGUAGAGAUCAGGAAGAACACCCGUGGCGAAGGCGGCCCACUGGGCCGGUACUGACGCUGAGGCACGAAGGCGUGGGGAGCGAACGGG